rnacentral:rRNA from 1 species
CCGGCACGGGUGAGUAACACGUAUCCAACCUGCCGUCUACUCUUGGACAGCCUUCUGAAAGGAAGAUUAAUACAAGAUGGCAUCAUGAGUUCACAUGUUCACAUGAUUAAAGGUAUUCCGGUAGACGAUGGGAAUGCGUUCCAUUAGAUAGUAGGCGGGGUAACGGCCCACCUAGUCUUCGAUGGAUAGGGGUUCUGAGAGGAAGGUCCCCCACAUUGGAACUGAGACACGGUCCAA